GCUAUUUAAUAGGUGCUCGACAGCCGGGAGUGCCGUGCCAAGGACGGGGAUCCCGAGUGCUGCCGGCAUUGCCUCUUCUGGGAACUUUUCUGCAGGUUUGCUUGGAGACCACUGAGGAUGUGUGACCCCAACCAAGGCCCGCCAAAAGCAUACCUUGCAGUGUGCCCUCCUGCCCCUCCAGGAUACCGUGGUCCUGACAGAAGUCCCUACCCUCCUGGUGUUGCAGUUUGCCCUGCUGCCCCUCCAGGAUACCGUGGUCCUGGCGAGAACCUGGCAGUCUGUCCCCCGGGCCCUGCUCCUCCUGGGCAGCACCCCCAUGGGCACCCCCCAUCAGGGCAUCAUCCCCAUGGGCACCAGGAGCACCAUCAAAAGCACUGAAAGCACCAUGAAGGCAAGCCCUGUGGUGGCUCACGCAGCUCAAGCAGCAGCUCUGACUCUGACUGAAUGUCUGGUAUGUCCCACCUGCUCUGCAGUGAUCAGCAAAACAUGGGGCCAAACUCCUCGUGGGAACCCCCUGCAUGUCGCUCCACUCCCUCCCCCUUUCCCUUGGAACAAUGUUUUGCCUGCUGAGUGAUUUUUCUUGUGUGUAGCUUGUAAAUCCUUGGACCUGGAAUCUCUGAGUCAAUGGACAUUUCUACCCUCUGUCCUUUGGGAGAGCCUGUUGAAAGUCAUCACAUGCUGUUUUCCAAUCUA